rnacentral:rRNA from 1 species
GAUUAAGUUAUUAAGGGCGCACGGUGGAUGCCUUGGCACUAGAAGCCGAUGAAGGACGUUACUAACGACGAUAUGCUUUGGGGAGCUGUAAGUAAGCUUUGAUCCAGAGAUUUCCGAAUGGGGAAACCCAGCAUGAGUUAUGUCAUGUUAUCGAUAUGUGAAUACAUAGCAUAUCAGAAGGCACACCCGGAGAACUGAAACAUCUUAGUACCCGGAGGAAGAGAAAGAAAAUUCGAUUCCCUUAGUAGCGGCGAGCGAAACGGGAAGAGCCCAAACCAACAAGCUUGCUUGUUGGGGUUGUAGGACACUCUAUACGGAGUUACAAAGGACGACAUUAGACGAAUCAUCUGGAAAGAUGAAUCAAAGAAGGUAAUAAUCCUGUAGUCGAAAAUGUUGUCUCUCUUGAGUGGAUCCUGAGUACGACGGAGCACGUGAAAUUCUGUCGGAAUCUGGGAGGACCAUCUCCUAAGGCUAAAUACUCUCUAGUGACCGAUAGUGAACCAGUACCGUGAGGGAAAGGUGAAAAGCACCCCCGGAAGGGGAGUGAAAUAGAACCUGAAACCGUGUGCUUACAAGUAGUCAGAGCCCGUUAAUGGGUGAUGGCGUGCCUUUUGUAGAAUGAACCGGCGAGUUACGAUUUGAUGCAAGGUUAAGCAGUAAAUGUGGAGCCGUAGCGAAAGCGAGUCUGAAUAGGGCGUUUAGUAUUUGGUCGUAGACCCGAAACCAGGUGAUCUACCCUUGGUCAGGUUGAAGUUCAGGUAACACUGAAUGGAGGACCGAACCGACUUACGUUGAAAAGUGAGCGGAUGAACUGAGGGUAGCGGAGAAAUUCCAAUCGAACCUGGAGAUAGCUGGUUCUCUCCGAAAUAGCUUUAGGGCUAGCCUCAAGUGAUGAUUAUUGGAGGUAGAGCACUGUUUGGACGAGGGGCCCCCCUCUCGGGUUACCGAAUUCAGACAAACUCCGAAUGCCAAUUAAUUUAACUUGGGAGUCAGAACAUGGGUGAUAAGGUCCGUGUUCGAAAGGGAAACAGCCCAGACCACCAGCUAAGGUCCCAAAAUAUAUGUUAAGUGGAAAAGGAUGUGGCGUUGCCCAGACAACUAGGAUGUUGGCUUAGAAGCAGCCAUCAUUUAAAGAGUGCGUAAUAGCUCACUAGUCGAGUGACACUGCGCCGAAAAUGUACCGGGGCUAAACAUAUUACCGAAGCUGUGGAUUGUCCUUUGGACAAUGGUAGGAGAGCGUUCUAAGGGCAUUGAAGCAUGAUCGUAAGGACAUGUGGAGCGCUUAGAAGUGAGAAUGCCGGUGUGAGUAGCGAAAGACGGGUGAGAAUCCCGUCCACCGAUUGACUAAGGUUUCCAGAGGAAGGCUCGUCCGCUCUGGGUUAGUCGGGUCCUAAGCUGAGGCCGACAGGCGUAGGCGAUGGAUAACAGGUUGAUAUUCCUGUACCACCUAUAAUCGUUUUAAUCGAUGGGGGGGGACGCAGUAGGAUAGGCGAAGCGUGCGAUUGGAUUGCACGUCUAAGCAGUAAGGCUGAGUAUUAGGCAAAUCCGGUACUCGUUAAGGCUGAGCUGUGAUGGGGAGAAGACAUUGUGUCUUCGAGUCGUUGAUUUCACACUGCCGAGAAAAGCCUCUAGAUAGAAAAUAGGUGCCCGUACCGCAAACCGACACAGGUAGUCAAGAUGAGAAUUCUAAGGUGAGCGAGCGAACUCUCGUUAAGGAACUCGGCAAAAUGACCCCGUAACUUCGGGAGAAGGGGUGCUCUUUAGGGUUAACGCCCAGAAGAGCCGCAGUGAAUAGGCCCAAGCGACUGUUUAUCAAAAACACAGGUCUCUGCUAAACCGUAAGGUGAUGUAUAGGGCUGACGCCUGCCCGGUGCUGGAAGGUUAAGAGGAGUGGUUAGCUUCUGCGAAGCUACGAAUCGAAGCCCCAGUAAACGGCGGCCGUAACUAUAACGGUCCUAAGGUAGCGAAAUUCCUUGUCGGGUAAGUUCCGACCCGCACGAAAGGCGUAACGAUUUGGGCACUGUCUCAACGAGAGACUCGGUGAAAUCAUAGUACCUGUGAAGAUGCAGGUUACCCGCGACAGGACGGAAAGACCCCGUGGAGCUUUACUGUAGCCUGAUAUUGAAAUUCGGCACAGCUUGUACAGGAUAGGUAGGAGCCUUUGAAACGUGAGCGCUAGCUUACGUGGAGGCGCUGGUGGGAUACUACCCUAGCUGUGUUGGCUUUCUAACCCGCACCACUUAUCGUGGUGGGAGACAGUGUCAGGCGGUCAGUUUGACUGGGGCGGUCGCCUCCUAAAAGGUAACGGAGGCGCUCAAAGGUUCCCUCAGAAUGGUUGGAAAUCAUUCAUAGAGUGUAAAGGCAUAAGGGAGCUUGACUGCGAGACCUACAAGUCGAGCAGGGUCGAAAGACGGACUUAGUGAUCCGGUGGUUCCGCAUGGAAGGGCCAUCGCUCAACGGAUAAAAGCUACCCCGGGGAUAACAGGCUUAUCUCCCCCAAGAGUUCACAUCGACGGGGAGGUUUGGCACCUCGAUGUCGGCUCAUCGCAUCCUGGGGCUGUAGUCGGUCCCAAGGGUUGGGCUGUUCGCCCAUUAAAGCGGUACGCGAGCUGGGUUCAGAACGUCGUGAGACAGUUCGGUCCCUAUCCGUCGUGGGCGUAGGAAAUUUGAGAGGAGCUGUCCUUAGUACGAGAGGACCGGGAUGGACAUACCUCUGGUGUACCAGUUGUCGUGCCAACGGCAUAGCUGGGUAGCUAUGUGUGGACGGGAUAAGUGCUGAAAGCAUCUAAGCAUGAAGCCCCCCUCAAGAUGAGAUUUCCCAACUUCGGUUAUAAGAUCCCUCAAAGAUGAUGAGGUUAAUAGGUUCGAGGUGGAAGCAUGGUGACAUGUGGAGCUGACGAAUACUAAUCGAUCGAAGACUUAAUCAA